rnacentral:rRNA from 1 species
GACAGAGGGUGCAAACGUUGCUCGGAAUUACUGGGCGUAAAGCGCGUGUAGGCGGUUUCGUAAGUCUGCUGUGAAAGUCGGAGGCUCAACCUUCGAAAGCCGGUGGAUACUGUGAGACUUGAGUACGGAAGAGGAGAGUGGAAUUCCUGGUGUAGCGGUGAAAUGCGCAGAUAUCAGGAGGAACACCAACGGCGAAGGCAGCUCUCUGGGACGUUACUGACGCUGAGACGCGAAAGCGUGGGGAGCAAACAGG